UACGGAGGGUGCAAGCGUUGUCCGGAAUCACUGGGUGUAAAGGGUGUGUAGGUGGGAUUGUAAGUCAGAGGUGAAAGCCCCCGGCCUAACCGGGGAACUGCCUUUGAUACUGCAAUUCUUGAGUCCUGGAGAGGUCAUUAGAAUUCGUGGUGUAGCGGUGAAAUGCGUAGAUAUCACGAGUAAUACCAGAGGCGUAGGCGGAUGACUGGACAGGUACUGACACUGAGGCACGAAAGCGUGGGGAGCAAACAGG
rnacentral:rRNA from 1 species